rnacentral:snRNA from 1 species
GUGUUCACUUCAGCAGCACGUAUACUAAAAUUGGAACCAUACAUAGAAUAUUAGCAUGGCCCCUAUGCAAGGAUAACACACAAAUUCAUGAAGCAUUCCAUAUUUCU